rnacentral:lncRNA from 1 species
CUGAGAGCUAGAGAUAUCUCAAUGGGCUACAGGAUAAUUUUCUUAGGAUGAAUAAUUUCCACACAUAAAAUGUCAUGAAUUGAGUAUGAUUUUCACUAAUCUGUAUUUUUAACAUUGAGGUACUUUCUGCUUCCUUGUCUUUAAAUGUUGGUCAGCUAGGAGCAUAAGUUAAAUAGUGUGACUAAAGAUGUAUUAAAACCUCCAUCAAAGCAGUAUUUAGUUGAGUGGCAUACCAGCUAGGAAAUGAUGAGACCCUAUCUGGACCAGCAGUACACACAUUUAGCCGCUAACAACACAGAUAUGUAGGCUCACCAAGCUAUUUCUACUGGUUCCAUUCACAUGGAUUCUAGAACAGUUUAUAUUCUAAAACUCAAAAGGUGAGAAGAUGGCCUCAGGGUUCUUAGCACUGUCUCGGACUACAUAUGCUACGGGCUGAGUUCCUACGUCUUCAGAAAUGGUGCAUUCUAGUUGCUGAGCAGCUGGGAGGGAAGUGCAUCCCUUGCCAACUGACUAUAUCAUCAUAGACCACACCUCACAGUGGGCUCCUUCCGGGACAGUGAUGACACACAGAAAGCACUGACUGCUUUGUAUUUCCUUAGAAAUCAACCCAGGGCAUCCUCAAGGAUCAAUAGUAGGUAGCUGAAAAUCUGAACGAAAGGCAGAAAUUCUGUGCGGCCUAGAGAAUGAGAAAUUAGAGGUCAGGGAGGAGAGGCAGAGAGGAAAGAAGAGUCAAGAGCACUGAUGCUCGUCAUGAAGCACAGAAGGGCAACUGCUAAAGCCAAGAGCACUGAGGAGAAAGAGAACCGGACCACAGAGCCAGCACAAGUGACCACAGAGGCUUCCAGAAUAUGCAGCGAAAAGACCACCACAGCAGAACUGAGAGCUGUCACCUCACAGCAACCCAUGGUGACAGACACAGAGUGGUUUGGUCUGAGUGCAGAGGAACAAUUGGCCUGGGCUAAGAGUACUAAAGAUCCUCGGAUUGCAGUAGGCUCCUGUUCCCCACUAGAAAAGAAAAUUAAGGUGGCACCCAUUCUUCAGGAGUGAGAAAACUGUUAGUCCAAAAGUUCCAACAGGAGAGUGAAACAGUUGAUAAACUUAAGACCGUGUCUCCUGACUUCCGGUUUGCUCAAGCAGAUGCCUACU